rnacentral:pre_miRNA from 1 species
AAAACAUUCGGACCGUCGGUCUACCGAGCAAUAUCACCCGCUCGGUGGAAGAUCUUCCCUUUGUCGU